rnacentral:tRNA from 1 species
GGUUGUGGCUCAGUGGUUCUAGAGCGCUUGCCUAGCAUGCAUGAGACACUGUGUUCGACCCCCAGCACCA